CCUACGGGGUGCAGCAGUGCGGAAUAUUGGUCAAUGGACGAGAGUCUGAACCAGCCAAGUCGCGUGAAGGAUGACUGCCCUAUGGGUUGUAAACUUCUUUUAUAAAGGAAUAAAACGAGGCACGUGUGCCUUUUUGCAUGUACAUUAUGAAUAAGGAUCGGCUAACUCCGUGCCAGCAGCCGCGGUAAUACGGAGGAUCCGAGCGUUAUCCGGAUUUAUUGGGUUUAAAGGGAGCGUAGAUGGGUUGUUAAGUCAGUUGUGAAAGUUUGCGGCUCAACCGUAAAAUUGCAAUUGAUACUGGCAGUCUUGAGUACAGUUGAGGUAGGCGGAAUGCGGGGUGUAGCGGUGAAAUGCUUAGAUAUCACGAAGAACCCCGAUUGCGAAGGCAGCUUACUAAACUGUGACUGACAUUGAUGCUCGAAAGUGUGGGGAUCAAACAGGAUUAGAUACCCCUGUAGUC
rnacentral:rRNA from 1 species